CGCAUUUCAAACGCCUACAUAUAAGCAUUUUCUAAAGGAAGAACAACUGCAAAUAAGAGAAUAAUCGCAUAUGCAUCUUUGAUUUCCGUAUCUCCCUAACUGAUUCAAAGAGAGAUAGAUGUCUUAGCUUCUGUUUUUUAUUUCUUCGACAGCUUGCCACUGCCCUCGUCGGAGAAGCCCGACGUUGAUUUGUUGUACCAGUCAGUUGACCCUGGUUUGCCGCCACUUUGGAGCUUAGUUGGAGCCUCAGCUUCUUCUCUCUCCGCCGCUGGUCCUUGUCGAGCUUGAGCCUCCUGCUGCCAACACUAUUCACCACCUAAAUGGGAAACCACUCUGGCCCACUGACCCUUGCACCAAGAAUUCGAACCCAGUUAUAAGAAAUCGUAAAGAAAAAGAGUAAUUAAGAGAUUGAAGCUGGCAUGUAAAUAAUCGAGAAAAACCCUAGGAAAUGGGGGUUGAGCCAUGACUGAUCGAGCUCCUUGGGUGAAAGAAAUUUUUUGGAAAUAGUAGGCUGAGUUGUUAUCCGUUCAUCUGAAAUGAGAGGGGGUGACUGCUUUGCUCCGCCGAGCCAAAGAGGACAGCGGCGGUAGAGCCUCAUCGCUCGUCGGGAUUCAGCGAAAACUACUCCUUGUCGGAGUCCAGCAAUGGCGAUGACCUCGGCCUCGCCGGACUUUGAAGCUGCGGCGAUGAACAUUUGGCGAAGACAGAAUCGGUGAGGGUGAUUACACGAUGGUUGUGCGUGGUUUGGAUUUGGGAAACGCCACUUGUCCCUUUUUGCUCGAAUCCAUUGGGAAUAACCCAGAUUUGAGAAAUCGAGAUCCACCAAAUUUUUGGGUUAGGAUUGGAACUUUUUUCAUAACUCAGAUCGGAUUCCCCACAUAGAUAUGAUGCGAAGUUGUAUCCUCCCCUCCGAUUAAAAUCUGAUGCAGCGGUUAUUUCGCCGGAAACUGGGAAUAAUUUUCCUAAGUUGUAUCCUCCCCUCGCCGGAAACUGGAAGCUCCCUCGCCGAACCCCCCUCGAUCCUCCCCUUUUUUUCUCUCUUUNUUUUUCGAUGAACAGUAACCUAAAUCCCCCAUCCCCCAAAUUUUUUUCGAUGAACAGUAAUCUAGCUUCAAUGAACAGUAAUCCUCUCGAUGAACAGUACCCGGAAAAAUUAUGAAUCUCACGCCUUAGCUCGAUUUCCCACAGACGGCGCCAGUUGGUGAAACGAGAAACCAACACCUAAACUAAAAAGCAGUAAACGACACCGGAUUUACG
rnacentral:lncRNA from 1 species